rnacentral:rRNA from 1 species
AUCGAACGCUGGCGGCAGGCCUAACACAUGCAAGUCGAGCGAGCGUCGGACGGGCGAGUAAUGUCUGGGAGACUGCCUGAUGGGGGGGGUUAAAUACUGUAACUGGUAGCUAAUACAGCUUACCAUCCGAUGUGCCCAGUGGGGGUUUGCUAGUCGGUGGGGUAAUGGCUCACCUAGGCGACGAUCCCUAGCUGGUCUGAUGGGAUGACCGGCCACACUGGAACUGAGACACGGCCAAGACUCCUAGGGGGGGCAGCAGUGGGGAAUAUUGCACAAUGGGCGCAAGCCUGAUGCAGCCAUGCCGCGUGUGUGAAGAAGGCCUUCGGGUUGUAAAGCACUUUCAGCGGGGAGGCGUUACCCGCAGAAGAAGCACCGGCUAACUCCGUGCCAGCAGCCGCGGUAAUUC